UACGGAGGGUGCAAACGUUGCUCGGAAUUAUUGGGCGUAAAGCGCGCGUAGGCGGUUACUUAAGUCGGAUGUGAAAGCCCUCGGCUUAACUGAGGAAGUGCACCCGAAACUGAGUAGCUAGAGUACGAAAGAGGGUCGCGGAAUUCCCGGUGUAGAGGUGAAAUUCGUAGAUAUCGGGAGGAACACCGGUGGCGAAGGCGGCGACCUGGGUCGAGACUGACGCUGAGGCGCGAAAGCGUGGGGAGCAAACAGG
rnacentral:rRNA from 1 species